rnacentral:rRNA from 1 species
AUUGAACGCUGGCGGCAUGCCUAACACAUGCAAGUCGAGCGGUUGCGGGGCUCUUGGUCCUGGAGUCAGCCGCGGGGGGGUGUAAUAUGCCUAGGCGUGUGCCUUGUAGGGGGGGAACGCGUCGGAAGACGGGCGAGUAUCCCGCAUGAGUCCUGGAGGAGAACGGGGGGGCUCUUGGGCUCUCGCGGUCGGAGCGGCGGCUAGGUCGGAUUAGCUAGUUGGGGGGGUAAAGGUCUACCAAGGCGACGAUCUGUAACUGGUCUGAGAGGAUGAUCAGCCACACUGGGACUGAGACACGGCCCAGACUCCUACGGGAGGCAGCAGUGGGGAAUUUUGGACAAUGGGCGCAAGCCUGAUCCAGCCAUGCCGCGUGCAGGAUGAAGGCCUUCGGGUUGUAAACUGCUUUUGUACGGAACGAAAAGCAUUCUUUUAAUACAGGAGGGUCAUGACGGUACCGUAAGAAUAAGCACCGGCUAACUACGUG